rnacentral:rRNA from 1 species
GACGAACCGUGCGAACGUUAUUCGGAAUCACUGGGCUUAAAGCGCGUGUAGGCGGGCCGCCACGUCGGUCGUUGAAAGCCCCCGGCUCAACCGGGGAACCGGCGCCGAUACGAGUGGCUUGGAGGGGGGUAGGGGGACCUGGAACUUCCGGUGGAGCGGUGAAAUGCGUUGAGAUCGGAAGGAACGCCCGUGGCGAAAGCGAGGUCCUGGACCCCAUCUGACGCUGAGACGCGAAAGCCAGGGGAGCGAACGGG